ACGAAGGGAGCUAGCGUUGUUCGGAGUUACUGGGCGUAAAGGGCGCGUAGGCGGUUCGGCAAGUCAGAUGUGAAAGCCCUGGGCUCAACCCAGGAACUGCGUUUGAGACUGCCGUACUUGAAUUCGGGAGAGGUGAGUGGAAUUCCCAGUGUAGAGGUGAAAUUCGUAGAGAUUGGGAAGAACACCAGUGGCGAAGGCGGCUCACUGGACCGACAUUGACGCUGAGGCGCGAAAGCGUGGGGAGCAAACAG
rnacentral:rRNA from 1 species